UAAUUAAUAGUAAUCAAAAGGGUCAAAUAUUUCCUUUGUUCACUAGGAAACUAAUUCCAGGAAACCAGAAAGUGAGGUACUUCCUUUGUUUUCAUUCUUUUCCUUACCAACUUAGAAAAUCAAUUAUAACCGUAAGAGAAAACUUGAGGCGACAGCUGGACUACUAGUACUUGACUUCUUCUCCUUCUCUCGACAUACACGAAUUCAUUAGAAGAGGAAGGGAGGACAUGAUUCUUGCAAUAAUUUGGAAAUAAUCUUUGAGGGAUGACUUCAAUAACCUAAAGUUGGAGUUGAAUUUUAAAAGCUAGUGAAUUGUGUAUUGGAUAGCAGGAAAUAGGGUUGGAAGGUUAAAGACUUCAAUAUCGCGGGUUGAAUUACUUGAGGCUCGAAUUACUAUCGUAGCUAAUAAAUCAUUAAGGUAUGUAAAGGUUUCGCUAAGGCACCGCCCUACGUCAUGUACCUCCUCCUAUCAAUGUUAGUAUGAUUCUCAUGAAAUACUAGAGUAGAAUCUUUAUAUUGUCUUA